GUUUCCUGCUCCGGGUGAGAAAUGGUGAAGGUUGUAUGAAAGAAAACAGCACCCAACCGAUCGACCCCUUCUGAACAGUUGGCAGAGAGAUGCGUGGGAUGUUUGGACAAUCCUCUUCCCCCAGCCUCCCCUGCUUUGCUUCAGCCCACGGCUCGGCUGACCCUGAAAAACAUCUUUGAAAAGCUGAGGCCUGGUGGGGACAGUCUGUCAUUGAGUUACACUGGGGAAGAGAAGUAAAGAAUGCAGCAUCACCAGCAAGGCCAAAGAACAAACCUGAAGCAACUUCUCAAGGGCACGCAGCAACUGGUGGAAGAGCUCUGCAGUUGGAUGUCAGAUUUGUUUACCUUAGGCAUCUUCCAUCUUCGCCACCACUGCUGAAUCAGUCUUCCUUUAUGAAGCACGAUGUCCCCUUUGCAGUAGGCUGGAAAUGUGAGACGUGCUUAGGAGCAGUGCCUGGCCUGGGAAAAAGAAAUGCACCCCUCCCACCUAAGUACCACUGCAGUCCAGGUUCUCUUUGUUCUAAAUACAUAUUCUUUUACUGUUUACUAUCCCUUUUCCCCUCUGAGUUGGAACAUUUGUUUAAAAAAGUCUUCUGUUGCUGGGAGCUGAACCAGACACCAUGUCUACUGUAUUGGCUCAGAAUGAGAUUUGAGCAGCAUCUUGCUGCAUGCUCCCUAAGGAUGGGUAAAAGCAAAUGCCAUGAGUAUAAAAAGACGAGGCUUCUGUAAGGUGAGUCUUUC
rnacentral:lncRNA from 1 species